UCAGUGGCCUAGUGGUUAGAGACUCCGCCUCAGAUGCGGGAGUUCGCGGGUUCGAUCCCCAUCCAAGUCAA